UACGUAGGGGACAAGCGUUGUCCGGAAUUAUUGGGCGUAAAGAGCUCGUAGGCGGCUUGUCGCGUCGGCUGUGAAAACCCGCGGCUCAACUGUGGGCGGGCAGCUGAUACGGGCAGGCUGGAGUUCGGUAGGGGAGACUGGAAUUCCUGGUGUAGCGGUGAAAUGCGCAGAUAUCAGGAGGAACACCGGUGGCGAAGGCGGGUCUCUGGGCCGAUACUGACGCUGAGGAGCGAAAGCGUGGGGAGCGAACAGG
rnacentral:rRNA from 1 species